rfam:Pongo abelii chromosome 5.
UCAGUGGCUCUCUUCAGAGCCACCUGGCAAAAAAGUAGAAGUUCACU